UACGUAGGGUGCGAGCGUUAAUCGGAAUUACUGGGCGUAAAGCGUGCGCAGGCGGUUCGUUGUGUCGGCGGUGAAAGCCCCGGGCUCAACCUGGGAAUGGCCGUUGAAACUGGCGAACUGGAGUGUGGCAGAGGGGGGUGGAAUUUCGCGUGUAGCAGUGAAAUGCGUAGAGAUGCGGAGGAACACCGAUGGCGAAGGCAGCCCCCUGGGCUGACACUGACGCUCAGGCACGAAAGCGUGGGGAGCAAACAGG
rnacentral:rRNA from 1 species